rnacentral:rRNA from 1 species
CCCCGGUAAACGGCGGCCGUAACUAUAACGGUCCUAAGGUAGCGAAAUUCCUUGUCGGGUAAGUUCCGACCUGCACGAAUGGCGUAAUGAUGGCCAGGCUGUCUCCACCCGAGACUCAGUGAAAUUGAACUCGCUGUGAAGAUGCAGUGUACCCGCGGCAAGACGGAAAGACCCCGUGAACCUUUACUAUAGCUUGACACUGAACAUUGAGCCUUGAUGUGUAGGAUAGGUGGGAGGCUUUGAAGUGUGGACGCCAGUCUGCAUGGAGCCGACCUUGAAAUACCACCCUUUAAUGUUUGAUGUUCUAACGUGGACCCGUAAUCCGGGUUGCGGACAGUGUCUGGUGGGUAGUUUGACUGGGGCGGUCUCCUCCUAAAGAGUAACGGAGGAGCACGAAGGUUGGCUAAUCCUGGUCGGACAUCAGGAGGUUAGUGCAAUGGCAUAAGCCAGCUUGACUGCGAGCGUGACGGCGCGAGCAGGUGCGAAAGCAGGUCAUAGUGAUCCGGUGGUUCUGAAUGGAAGGGCCAUCGCUCAACGGAUAAAAGGUACUCCGGGGAUAACAGGCUGAUACCGCCCAAGAGUUCAUAUCGACGGCGGUGUUUGGCACCUCGAUGUCGGCUCAUCACAUCCUGGGGCUGAAGUAGGUCCCAAGGGUAUGGCUGUUCGCCAUUUAAAGUGGUACGCGAGCUGGGUUUAGAACGUCGUGAGACAGUUCGGUCCCUAUCUGCCGUGGGCGCUGGAGAACUGAGGGGGGCUGCUCCUAGUACGAGAGGACCGGAGUGGACGCAUCACUGGUGUUCGGGUUGUCAUGCCAAUGGCACUGCCCGGUAGCUAAAUGCGGAAGAGAUAA